UGUUAAAAAUUUUAUCCAUUUUUACUUUUAAAAGCUAACAUGGCUAUCAGAAUAACCAAAUAGUUACACCUGGCAUGCCACGUGUACCAUAUACUGACAUAUAGAGAUUGGUUUUUAAUAGUAGACAUGGAUAGAAUUUUUAACA
rfam:Gossypium raimondii Chr12_contig_802, whole genome shotgun sequence.